rnacentral:rRNA from 1 species
GCUUAACCGAAGAAGUGCAUCGGAAACUGGGUGACUUGAGUGCAGAAGAGGACAGUGGAAUUCCAUGUGUAGCGGUGGAAUGCGUAGAUAUAUGGAAGAACACCAGUGGCGAAGGCGGCUCUCUGGUCUGCAACUGACGCUGAGGCUCGAAAGCAUGGGUAGCAAACAGGAUUAGAUACCCUGGUAGUCCAUGCCGUAAACGAUGAGUGCUAGGUGUUGGAGGGUUUCCGCCCUUCAGUGCCGGAGCUAACGCAUUAAGCACUCCGCCUGGGGAGUACGGCCGCAAGGUUGAAACUCAAAGGAAUUGACGGGGGCCCGCACAAGCGGUGGAGCAUGUGGUUUAAUUCGAAGCUACGCGAAGAACCUUACCAGGUCUUGACAUCUUGCGCUAACCUAAGAGAUUAGGCGUUCCCUUCGGGGACGCAAUGACAGGUGGUGCAUGGUCGUCGUCAGCUCGUGUCGUGAGAUGUUGGGUUAAGUCCCGCAUCGAGCGCAACCCUUGUUACUAGUUGCCAGCAUUCAGUUGGGCACUCUAGUGAGACUGCCGGUGACAAACCGGAGGAAGGUGGGGACGACGUCAGAUCAUCAUGCCCCUUAUGACCUGGGCUACACACGUGCUACAAUGGUCGGUACAACG